GAUUUAUCUUCUUGUUCAUCUUUGGUUUUGUAAUGAACUUGAACUGAUAAAAAAAAAUGUACAUUUUAAAAGUUUAAUUGCUUGCUGGCAAUUAGGUUCAAGUCCAUGCUUUCCCCUCCCUUNNNCUUCCCUUGAACUGAAGAGGGAAAGUGCUCAACACUGUUCAAAGAUUGAUGUAGAUGACAUCAAAGGUUCAAGUGUUUCAGUAAACAUUAAACAAAAUUUCUG
rnacentral:misc_RNA from 1 species